CUAAUAUAACCCAUUUGAUCUACAACUUCCUGCAAAUCAUCACCCCAAUCUGCAGGGUUUGAUGCUAGACCACAACCACCAUAGGAACUGCCUCUUGUUGCAAAUUCUCCACAGUAGGGCUUGUCAUUAGUCGCCAUUUUCGCUCACAUGUCAUUUAUGAGCAAUUUUCUGUAUAAAUGUCGAAUUUCAAAGAGCCUUACUUCGAUCCCAGAUGUUUUGAUUGAUGUAUAAACACUUCAAUUGCUUAGAUUUUUAAGGUGUUUCUGGCAAUUUUUAAC
rnacentral:lncRNA from 1 species